rnacentral:rRNA from 1 species
AGAGUAAGACUCCAAGUAGACUACUUGGUUGAUAGGUCCCAGGUGUAAGAGUAGCAAUAUUCUUAGCUAAGGGAUACUAAUAAGUCGAGGGCUUGACCAAUU